rnacentral:tRNA from 1 species
UUUAGGGUGGCAGAGACAGGUAAUUUGCGGGGGGCCUAAAUUUCCCUUACAGAAGUUCAAAUCUUCUCCCUAAAC